rnacentral:rRNA from 1 species
AAUGAACGCUGGCGGCGCGCCUAAUACAUGCAAGUCGAGCGAGAAGACGUAGCAAUACGUUUGUAAAGCGGCGAACGGGUGAGGAAUACAUGGGUAACCUACCCUCGAGUGGGGAAUAACUAGCCGAAAGGUUAGCUAAUACCGCGUACGCUUCUUGGACUUCGGUUCAGGGAGGAAAGCGAUACCGUGGGUAUCGCGCUCUUGGAUGGGCUCAUGUCCUAUCAGCUUGUUGGUGAGGUAACGGCUCACCAAGGCUUCGACGGGUAGCUGGUCUGAGAGGACGAUCAGCCACACUGGCACUGCGACACGGGCCAGACUCCUACGGGAGGCAGCAGUAAGGAAUAUUGCGCAAUGGGCAAAGCCUGACGCAGCGACGCCGCGUGGGGGA